rfam:Oryza sativa Japonica Group DNA, chromosome 3, cultivar: Nipponbare, complete sequence.
AAUAGAUGACACCGUUAAUUUUUUUUCUCACAUGUUUGACCAUUCGUCUUAUUUAAAAAAUUUACGUAAUUAUCAUUUAUUUUGCUACGAGUUGUUUUAUCACUCAUAGUAUAUAAAGUGUGAUUUAUAUCUUAUACAUUUGUAUAAAAUUUUUUGAAUAAGACGAAUAGUUAAAUAUGUGAGAAAAAGUCAACGGCGUCAUCUAUU